rnacentral:snoRNA from 1 species
ACCCUCCAGAUUACUUACCUCUCAGAUAUAAACACUGGUCUGAGUGGCUCAAAAGAUGGAAAAGUAUAACUAAAGUGGACUUGGAAUUUUUAUGACUUACAAAUUCAUUUAACAAUAAA